AACAUGUAAUCGUAUUUAUUUUCCUUCCAUUUUGUCAGAGGCGCUGAUGUCGGCAUUGUGAUUGGUGGAACAUGACUUUUGACAAAUCCUGCGCUAUCUGUGUUUAAUGUUCGUGUUCGUUCGUUCGUUGUCGUUCAGUCAUUUUAUGGUCGGUUUAUGUGAUGUGUUUGUGUCACCAUAAAAAGCUGAUAUUCAGUCGUGUUUUUUGAUAUUUUGUAAUCGAGUACCUUUUUAAAGGUCUAAUGGCUCCCAUCAGGUGUUGUGUGCAGACGGAGGAAAAAUUCAACGAGUAAACAUAUUUAAUCCAAAUUAAAUACUCAUAUUUCUAUGUAAAAUGUCACAUUAUUGUAUAAAUAAAUAAUUAAGAAUCAAAA
rnacentral:lncRNA from 1 species